rnacentral:rRNA from 1 species
GGGUCAGUAGGUUGGUCGUGCCACCGGUACGUACUGGUCUCACUGAUUCCUCCUUCCUGAAGAACCGUAAUGCCAUUAAUUUGGUGUUGCGGGGAAACAGGACUGUUACUUUCAAAAAAUUAGAGUGUUUAAAGCAAGCUAACGCUUGAAUACAUUAGCAUGGAAUAAUGAAAUAGGACGAUCGAUCCUAUUUUGUUGGUUUCUAGGAUUGACGUA